GAUGAACGCUGGCGGCGUGCCUAAUACAUGCAAGUCGAGCGAACAGACGAGGAGCUUGCUCCUCUGACGUUAGCGGCGGACGGGUGAGUAACACGUGGAUAACCUACCUAUAAGACUGGGAUAACUUCGGGAAACCGGAGCUAAUACCGGAUAAUAUAUUGAACCGCAUGGUUCAAUAGUGAAAGACGGUUUUGCUGUCACUUAUAGAUGGAUCCGCGCCGCAUUAGCUAGUUGGUAAGGUAACGGCUUACCAAGGCGACGAUGCGUAGCCGACCUGAGAGGGUGAUCGGCCACACUGGAGCUGAGACACGGUCCAGACUCCUACGGGAGGCAGCAGUAGGGAAUCUUCCGCAAUGGGCGAAAGCCUGACGGAGCAACGCCGCGUGAGUGAUGAAGGUCUUCGGUUCGUAAAACUCUGUUAUUAGGGAAGAACAAAUGUGUAAGUAACUAUGCACGUCUUGACGGUACCUAAUCAGAAAGCCACGGCUAACUACGUG
rnacentral:rRNA from 1 species